UUAAAUUGAAGAGUUUGAUCAUGGCUCAGAUUGAACGCUGGCGGCAGGCCUAACACAUGCAAGUCGAGCGGAAACGACU
rnacentral:rRNA from 1 species